rnacentral:rRNA from 1 species
GAUUCUGGCUCAGGAUGAACGCUAGCUACAGGCUUAACACAUGCAAGUCGAGGGGCAGCGAGAGGAAAGCUUGCUUCCUUGUCGGCGACCGGCGCACGGGUGAGUAACGCGUAUCCAACUUUCCCCAUACUAGAGGAUAGCCCGGCGAAAGUCGGAUUAAUACUCUAUGUUGUAUUUCGAGGACAUCUGAAUAAUACCAAAGGUUUACCGGUAUGGGAUGGGGAUGCGUCUGAUUAGCUUGUCGGCGGGGUAACGGCCCACCGAGGCGACGAUCAGUAGGGGUUCUGAGAGGAAGGUCCCCCACAUUGGUACUGAGACACGGACCAAACUCCUACGGGAGGCAGCAGUGAGGAAUAUUGGUCAAUGGGCGCGAGCCUGAACCAGCCAAGUAGCCGUGCAGGAUGACUGCCCUAUGGGUUGUAAACUGCUUUUAUAGGGGAAUAAAGUGAGGUACGUGUACCUUUUUGUAUGUACCCUAUGAAUAAGGACCGGCUAAUUCCGUGCCAGCCGCCGC